UAGAGUUUGAUCAUGGCUCAGGACGAACGCUGGCGGCGUGCCUAACACAUGCAAGUCAACUUGACUGAAGGAGCAAUCUGACAGUAGAGUGGCGCAAGGGUGCGUAACGCGUAAGUAACUUGCCCCAAGGUAAGGAAUAACGUCGAGAAAUCGGCGCUAAUACCUCAUAAUGCAGCGGAUCCGCAUGGAUAUGUUGUUAAAGGUUUACCGCCUUGGGAUAGGCUUGCGUCUGAUUAGUUAGUUGGUGUGGUAACGGCACACCAAGGCUACGAUCAGUAACUGGUCUGAGAGGAUGAUCAGUCACACUGGAACUGAGACACGGUCCAGACUCCUACGGGAGGCAGCAGUGAGGAAUAUUGGGCAAUGCUCGAAAGAGUGACCCAGCAACGCCGCGUGGAGGAUGAAGGUAUUCUAUAUCGUAAACUCCUGUGAGAGCAGACGAAAGACAGAUUAUUAAUCUGGAUGACUGUAUGCUCAGAGGAAGCCCCGGCUAACUACGUGCCAGCAGCCGCGGUAAUA
rnacentral:rRNA from 1 species